rnacentral:rRNA from 1 species
ACCGGCGCACGGGUGAGUAACGCGUAUCCAACUUCCCAUUACUGUGGGAUAAACCUGCCGAAAGGCAGACUAAUACCGCAUAGUCUUCGAUGACGGCAUCAGAUUUGAGUAAAGAUUUAUCGGUAAUGGAUGGGGAUGCGUCUGAUUAGCUUGUUGGCGGGGUAACGGCCCACCAAGGCGACGAUCAGUAGGGGUUCUGAGAGGAAGGUCCCCCACAUUGGAACUGAGACACGGUCCAAACUCCUACGGGAGGCAGCAGCA